GUGCGCGGCCGCCCUCCCGCUCACCUUGGCGAUGCUGCUGAGGUAGUAGCAGGCGUAGGCGACGCCGAAGCCCAGCAGCAAGGACAAGCCCACGCCGGAGCCGAAGAGCCCCACGCGGACCUGGCUCUCCAGGACGAAGAUCCCCUGUCGGUCGGGAUGGAGAGGGGACCCUUGGUAAUUCCAGGUGCAGCACUGGUUCAUCAUCUAUAUCUGUAUAAAUAUGUCCAGUGACACUGGACCACUGUGGUGUCGUGUCAGGGUGACCUCUUUUCCCUGUAUGGAUGUCCAGUAAGGCACAGCAGCUUCUCCCCUCCUCACUGACACUUUUGUUUCAAGGAGUUAGUGAAGAUCAGAGAAGGACAGAUGUGAUUUCUAGCUCUAAAGGACAACUCUGCCUGCUCCCUUUGCAGCUGUAUGGGUUAUUGCACUGAGGCCUCACGUGUUCGCUAACUCCGAUGCUGCCCUCUUCAGCUUCAUUAAAAGACACAAGUGUAUCUGCAUUUUUUCUUGGCAAAGUCCUAGGAGCGCAGUCGAUAACACAAAGGUCCUGGAGCUGAGCAUCUGCCACUUGAGAUGCAUGCGUGCACCGCAGAACAUAAAAAUACUUCCCUUUAAUUUAUGCCUCAUGAACUGGUGACAGAAGACAGACUUUGCUCAUUGAGACUCGUCAUUCCAGAAAACAUGAUGGCUCACUUUUUACUUCUUAGCAGAUGUAACU